GGGUUAGAUUAGGUACCAGCCACCCUGGAUCGGCCUGGAAGAGUGUUGCGAUCAAGAUCUUUCUGUGAGUGUUGCUCUUUGGGAUGCUAUGAAGAUCCCUCACUUCCCCUCUCUUCUUGCCUGCCGUGUGGCGAUCCAUGUUGAGCUCAACUACCUAACAGGGGUUCUCUCUUGGACACUGAAGCUAGGAUCGACCUCCUUGGUGCGGGAUCCUGGAUCUGACGUCGAGUUUUUGCAGUCGGAGUCCUUGUUGUAUGUCGGGAAGCGAGUGGGUAUUGACAAUUUAAGGUAAAAUGCUCAUGGAUAUGCAAUUCCAGGUAAGUGUCGUUCUCGUUAUAAGCCUCAUUUUCAUUGCACUUGUGAUUCAAGGAGCCUGAAAUACACCCGUAUCUUGAGACAACUAGAAAGAGAAUCGAAAGUUGUGGUUGCUGUUGUUUGAAACAACUGUUAAUAUGUCCACGUCUGGUAUGCAUUAUUUACAGAAAAUUUGAGCAGAUGCAGAAACUGAAGAGUGGUGUUUUCGUCGUAGCGGCUUAGUUUGAGGUUAUUUUGUGGGAGAUCGAGCACUAGUCUGUUAAUCUAGAUCAAGGAUUUAUGUUUGACGACCAAGGUUUAAGGAGGCGUGCAGCCAUGGCUUUGCCAAGGUCUGCUACAAAAGGUGGACUGGGGUUUUGCAAUGCAGGACAAUCUCGUGGCGUGCAGAUGACAGGUCGCACAAACUCAGACAACUAGAAUGCCGGUGGGAGGAAUCAUCACCAUGCGAGAAUUACGUCCAGAGGGAGAUUUAACAACCUUUCGCCUGACAUGAGUGAGAUGGGGGGUGCUACAGACAGCGAACUGGGAUCCGAUUACUUAUACACUGUCUACAUCCCUGCCACACCAGACCACCCAAUGUCGGGAGAUCAAGCGGUCUUUGGAAAGGGCAAGCAGCUUGGGGGUGCACGCUGUCCUACUUGCGCCGUCGUCAAUUAUUACGAGAAGGCAAUGCGCGACAAGCGCGGAAAAGACAUGACACCUUGUGAUUGCAACUUCAAGAUCUGCCGCCACUGCUACCUCGAUGCACUCAACGAGUCUGGAAAAUGCCCUGAUUGUAAAGACGACUAUACUACGUCUAACAAGCCAUUCUCACACGGUGGUUCCCAGAAUGACAUGCGCAUGUUACCACUCAACGGCGACGACAACUCCAGACUAGAUCGCCACCUGUUCUUCUAAAGACAAAGCUCAGCAUGCUUAUGAGCUAUGGUUCCUCUGCUGAUUUCGACUACGCUCGUUAGCUCUAUCAGACCUAGGGUACCUAUUGUUAUGGCAAUGCCGUGUGGCUCGGCGACGAUGGAUACGAUGGCAAUGGCGGCCAAGGUCCACCAAAUAUGGGUGUUUUGGCUAAAUUCAAAGAUAAAGAGAGGCGUCCUCUAACUCGCAAAGUUAGCAUUUUGACUGGCAUUCUAAAUCCCUACAGUCAUGUGAAGGGAAGUAAUGAAUCAGCAAUCUGGGCGAAGGGGGUGUGGAAUGGAAAGAAAUCCAACAAAUCAUGGACGGAGAGGCGGAAGGGAACAAGCGCAGCAGGGCGUUUGUUGUGGAUUGCAGUGCGUGCAUGCGUCCAACAAGAGCAGUGACUGCACCAGUGUAAGGAGGAGAGAGGCACGGCAUGGUGCUAUUCCACGCACCAUGGACAGAGAGUCGGAUUGAAAGGGCCAUUGUAGGGCGUUUAACCUAGACUGUGGUGCACACAUGCGCUCCAUGCGAUGAGUGACUACAGCGGUCUAAGGAGGGAAGAGGUGCUGCAUGGUUUUAUUCCACGCCAAUUCGAGGCGGAAGGAGAUGGGCGCCGUGGGGCGUUUGUCUUGGAUUGUGGAAAUUGGCCACGAGAAGAGUGAUUACAGACUAAGUAAAGUUGGCUGUUUUGGCGGUCGUAAGCAGUAGGGGAUUGAGGUAAACACAGCAGUAAGGAGUUGGAGGAGGGCAGCAUGGUACCAAGGGGAAGAGGUGCGGCAUGGCACUAUUCUACGCCAAUUCUACGCAUCAUGGACAGAGAGGCGAGAAAGGAUGAGCACCGCAGGGCGUUUAUCCUAGAUUGCGGUGCAUGCAUGCGCUCCACGCAAGGAGUGAUUGCAGCGGUUUGAGGAGGGGUAAGGCACGGCAUGGCGCUAAUCCGUGCAAAUUCCACUCAUCAUGGAUGGAGAGCCAGAUUGAGAUGGCUAUUGCAGGGCGUUUGUCCUAGAUUGUGGAAACUGGCUGCGGGAGGAGUGAUUGAAGACUGAGCAAUAGGGAAUCGAGGAAAAACAGCCUGUUGUUGGAGAGGGGAGGGAGACGAGAGAGGGGAUGAAGAGAUAUGUGGAGCCAGUAGUUAGAGUCAGGAGCAAUAUAGGGAAAGGCAGCAGAAUGUCGGGAAUGUAAUUGGCAUUGUGCGGUGGGAUUUGAGAAACAAAAACAGUGGCCUUGCAAUAGAUGCAAAAAAAUCUACAGUCGAGUAGGAGGGGUGAAGGUGGGAUUCUCCAAUCGAUCCAAGGGCAGAUAGAGGUCCUUCACCAACAUCAAAUCCUGCUCACCCCGAUAUUGACAAUUCCUCAAUAAACCCCCACUCUCUCACCUCCCUCGUAGUAGCUUGGGCAAUUCCAAGGUGCAUCAUUGAUGUCCCAAGGGGGCAUGUCGAUGGUUGUGAAGAGCAGGAGAUUGAGUUGAAGAGCAUCCAGGAGUCGGAGAAGGGCAACAAGGUAUUGAGCAAGAAGGGAGGGGUGGGGGUUGGAUUAUCUAAUCGACGGGCUGCCGAUUGAUCCAAGGGCGGAUAAGGGUCCCUCACAAGCAUCCAUGGAUACCCCGACCCAACAAGUGUGACACCCGACCUGCCGCGGGACACAAUACAUAGGGUUCGAUCUAGGAACCCCACAGUUGGCAUGCACCGUGUGCUAGAGUGGGAGCUUUUGACCUGAUAUAAACUAUUUUUUUGCCUUCAAUACAAGCCGUUACGGCACAAUUCAGCUCAAGUAGCUUGGCCCAUCUUAGUGUGCGUUGCUCAUGUUCUCGGGCGACCUGUCGACAGUCAUAAAGAGUAAGGGACUGUUAUGAAGAGCAUCAUGGAAUCGGAGAAAGGCAGGGGGAAUGGGGGAGGAUUAGCAUUUGGAGUCCAUAGUAGCGUAUUAUGGAGGAGCGAGGGAAAAGGCAGAAGUUGGAGUCAGAUAUCGAGAGUAUAAGGGGGUUAAGAGGAGCAGAAGGAGGGUAUUGAGGACAGAUGUUUAAGGAGCAAGGUAUCGAGAGGGGGUAUUGGAGGCAGUACUUAGAGUCCGGAGCGAGGAAAUGGAGGAUCAGGUCAUCGAAAGGGUCAGCAGGAUUUUAGAAUCCCAGGUAUUGAGGGGCAAGGUAUCGAGGGGGCAGAGUAAUGAUAAGCCGGAGUAUUGAAGAGGCAGGGUAUCUUAGGGGAUAAGAUUGAAGGGGUAGAGUAUCAAUGGGGGUAGAGUAUCGAGAGCUAAAGUAUCAUGAGCAUAGGAUAUUGUAGGGAUAGAGUAUUGAGAGGCCAGACUAUCGAGGAGGUAGGACAUUCUACACGCAAGAUAUUGAGGGUGUAGGAUAUUGUUGGGAUAGAGUAUUCACGAUGCAGAUUAUCGAGGGAGUAGGCUAUUGAGGACGAAGGGCAUCGAGCGGGCUAAAUAUCAACGGGGUAGAGUAAUAUAGUGGGUAGAGCAUCAAGGGAGUAGUAUAUCGAAGAGGGAGGGACGGUAUUUUGAAUCCGGAGAGGGAUAAUGGAGGGGUUCACUUUCAUGACAACAAGAUCAGAACUCACAUGCAUCCAUUUCUUGAAGGAUCCCAGGUUUACUUAGGCUGACUUUACGAUUCGCCGGAUGCACGACUUCUCCGACCGGACUACAAAGGUUGCGAAGGACUACAAUAAAGCAGGUCGCAUCGACGUCUACCUCGUCGGUUGGACUCACGGUGGUGGUAGAUGCAGACUCCGAUCUAGGAUGAGGCCAGACGGGAUUAUCAGUAGGAUCCAUCCUGGCGGCGUCGACCUUGAACUCCAAAGACGAAGCAUAAUUUAUUGCACAUUACAAAUCAUUGACAGUUCCAUAACAUGUGGUGCUUUCAUGUGGUUGUAGUCAAGCUUAUAUCGUGAAGAGGUGCACCUGGUUGCGCACCCUGCAAAUAGAUGUAGCUGCUAAUUUUAUAGAGUUGUACGAGAGCACAAACACCGAGGUUAUCUUAGUUGUUCUGAUACACAAGGUACUCCGAAAGGUUCCAAGUCAUGCAAAUGUAAACUAGCGUACUUUUUGUUGUAACUAUGAUCUUGCUUUUAGUGAUUCAUGAAGUCUAGUAAAACAGAUGCAAUUUUGUAAAAACUUUGGCGAUAUGUAAAAGUCACCUGUCCAUGCCA